GUGAGGAAUAUUGGUCAAUGGGCGCAAGCCUGAACCAGCCAUGCCGCGUGCAGGAAGACGGUCCUAUGGAUUGUAAACUGCUUUUAUUUGGGAAUAAACUCCGGUACGUGUACCGGCCUGAAGGUACCAAAUGAAUAAGCACCGGCUAACUCCGUGCCAGCAGCCGCGGUAAUACGGAGGGUGCAAGCGUUAUCCGGAAUCAUUGGGUUUAAAGGGUCCGCAGGCGGUCUUAUAAGUCAGUGGUGAAAGCCUACAGCUCAACUGUAGAACUGCCAUUGAUACUGUAGGACUUGAAUUCGAUCGAAGUGGGCGGAAUGUGACAUGUAGCGGUGAAAUGCUUAGAUAUGUCACAGAACACCGAUAGUGAAGGCAGCUCACUAGGUCUGGAUUGACGCUCAGGGACGAAAGCGUGGGGAGCAAACAGGAUUAGAAACCCGAGUAGUCC
rnacentral:rRNA from 1 species